rnacentral:rRNA from 1 species
UAUAAAUGUAAAAUUUUUAAACCAGGGUAGUAAUAGUUAAGUUCUUGAAACCCAAAGAAUUUGGCGGUAUUUUAGUCCUUUCAGAGGAAUCUGUCCCAUAAUCGACAGUCCACGAGAGAAUUUACUUAUUCUUGUAUUUCAGUUUGUAUACCUCUGUCAUAAGAAGAUCUUUUUAGAGAUGAAAUUUUCUUGAUAUACAAAUUAUAAGAUGUCAGGUCAAGGUGCAAUUUAUGAAUAAGAGGAGAUGGAUUACAAUAAAUUUAUUUACACGGAUUAAAUUAUUUGAUUUUUUUAUGAAGGUGGAUUUGAUAGUAAUUUUGAUUAUUUGUUAUUAUGAUUUUGGCUCUAAAAUAUGC